AACUUCAGCUCGCUGUCUGCUCAUGUACUCAGCCACACUACAGAAUUCAUCUUCUAUUAGAAACAUUAUUAGGGUUGUGAGGAACAUCAUCUGAGGUUUUGUCCAAUAGGAGGUCUUCGGGAAUUCCCACUGAUGACCAAUGUGCUGGCUGAAAUGGUCCUUCCACAUGGUGCAGCAGUUACAGGGGCCUCCAGAAUGGACACAAAAAUGAUUUAUUAAACACAAAAAUGUAACAAAUAAAACUAUAUCAUCAGA